UGUAUUUCCUGAGCUCUCACGGCUGGCUCUGCAGUUUUCCCAGAUCCUGUGAGACCUCUUUACGUCCCUCCAGGAAACUUCUCUUCCUCUCAACUUCCCACUAGUGUGAGGCCAUUUCUGUUCCUUGCAGCCAAUUAGGGUACAGAAGGUCUAGGCUCCAUGUAUUUUUAUUCACAAAAACAAAAGACAUAUAAAAGCACAUUAAUAAGGAAGCCUUUUGAUGGAGAAGUGAGGCCAGGAGCAUCGUGGGCUACUUCUCCAGAAGGUUUCGGGUGGCAAGAUUCAACAAUACUUCAUGUCAGCUAACCAUAGCAGAAGAGAAAGACAAGCCUAUAUUCCUGCUGUAAAGUUGUACCCACAAAAGUGUAUCUGUCAGUGCGUGCCUCCUGUGGGCAGCGGGAAUGGACCAUCUACAGGAAAUGGGUACCUGAGAGAACAGACAUUAGGGUUGCUCUGCAUAAGGACUGACCAAGCUCCCCCAGGCCAGAGAAAGCCCAGUGAGAGAAGUAGAGAGAUGUGGGUCCUUGAGAGCAUCCACCACAGCUGCAAGGGAACACAGAGGUGGGCCAAAUCCAUGAAGCGUGGCAGCAACACCCACCCUGCCUCCAGUUACACUGCCAUCUGCUAAAGCAGGAGACAUCUCCCCGCCAGCCUCUCCCUCUCAUGACCUGAGGAGAAGCAACUGCAUUGUAAUCUCUGCACUGUGGGCUGAUUUAUAAUUGAUGAGACUUUUCCUACAGAAGUUGAUGUGCAGUAUCGCACUUCACCGAAAUUGUCUAACUUGCCAUGUGAUGGAUAUUUUUUUGUCACAUUUAUUCUUUCUUGGUUUUAAUUACUUUGUAUGUGAUAACAAGGCUCAUCAUGCACUUUUGAUAAAGUGGGGAAAACGUCAAUUUCCCCACUACUUUCUAGUGAAAUAUAUAAAAUAAAACUCAUCUCUAACUCUGAAGUGGUUCCUAU
rnacentral:lncRNA from 1 species